CUUAUACUCCCUUCCCCAAAGGGCAAUUCCUACCUGAUUAGUUUGCCUGUUUCUGGGUUUUAUACACGAGGAAGCAUAUAGUGUGCACCCUUUAGUGUCUGUUUCCUUCGCCCAGCAUCAUACUUAUGACAGUCACCCAUGUUGUUGGCCUAGCAGUGGGAUGUUCCUUCCAACUGCUGUAAUGCAUUCCACUGUGGUGAAUACACCCCAGAGUGUUCGCUCUAGUACUGAUGGGCCAUAUGCUGUGGCCCAAAGUUUACUGUCUGGUUUGGGAAGUUUUAAAAAACAGUCGCAUAUUUGAGAGAGACACUCAGGGGAUUUUUUAUGCCCACAGAGAGAAAGAAAAUAGAGGGACCAUUUCCCCUGCUCAGACCUCUAGCUUUGUUCGGUCCUGCUUUGUCACCUCACCCCCAGACUCAGGAAAAAUGGUGAGUUAUGCCUAUGAGAGCGUCGCCGCUGCAAGGAGAGUGGGCUUUGGAGUCCCAGAAGACCAGGGGGAGUCUCCGGUCUGCAGGGAGUGGACACAGGAAGUUGCACGUAUGUGUAAACAUCAGAGAAGCCUCUGGUUACUGGAAAGUCCUCUGUAAAUAUCUCAGAGCAGCUAGGAUACCUCACUCAACCCAGGUUACUGUGACCGUAGUCUCUAGCGUCUCAACGUGUGUGGGGAUCCGGCCGUUUCCCACCCCUACGACUUCAAGAAAAAGACAGACCAUGAGCUGCACAUUUGAUCCAAUGAGGCUUAACCAGGUCCUGGUAGAUUUACCUCCUUAUUUUUGAUAUAGCUAUGGCGAAAACCUUCUCUAGCAUAUAACUCAUGUAUUUCUUUCUUCACAAGAACUCAAUUACCCUGCUUAAGAUCUCUUUUGGGAUUCUAAAAUACUAACUGCUCACUAAGUUUCCAAAAACUUGAGGCGAAGCUAGCUUAUUUCCAGCCAGCCUCUGUUUAUGUGGGUGCAAUGAUUUAAAAUAUCCCUAAAUACUUUUGAGCGGAAACUCUUGAAAUUUUAUUCUCUGAUCGGCAGUACAUAAAUUCAAGUGCCUCUGAGAUCUAAAGAAAAUAAGAGUGCUCAUUGGAAGGAGGGAGGCUGGGAAAAUACAAGGCAGUGUAGUGUUUAGAUUCAUUGGUUUGGAAAGACUUAAAAUAUUUAUAUCAGUAUCAAGAACUUAUUUAUGUUUCAUUUCUUGGCAAGGCUUUAUAUGUAUAUCCUCAAAGAUUUCAAGUAUUAUUUCAUAAAGAAUAUGCUACUGUUUAUAAACACAAAUGUUUGAGAUGACUGCAAACAUUUUUUAAAAGAAUUAAGGCUUUUAAUGAUUUUUUUUUCUUUUUCCUGACUCUCUUUGCAGCCAUCUUUUGCCUUGUUUUUUUCUCUAAUUUUGUAAGCAUUACAAUGAUAUGAGGUGGUGGUUUAUGGAACUCUUCUAAAAGGACAACUGGAAGAUAAAUUAAUGACCUCUUAGGUUGAGCAAGUACCCGUGCCGUAGGCCACAAGCAUCCCAGUCUCCUGAUAAAGUCAACAUAGGGGUUUAAAGUACAAAAACUUAACAGAAAUAUUUAAAAUAAUUAUAAAAAUAAUCAUAGUAUUAAAACCAGUUAUAAAAAAUAUAAUAAUUUUUAUUGUAAUUAUUUUGUGCUGUGUGGAUCCUGAAAAAGUAAAAGAAAACAGAACAUUCUCCUUCCCGCCCAUGACUCUCAGUUCUUCAAGCUAACAUUUUCUGUGCUCUUAACUUUUGUGCCAGUCACUGUGUACUUUAAGGCACUUAAAAAAUUCAUCUUCACAAUGACUCUGAGAGGUAAGUAACAGUAUUCCCCCCAUUUUGCAGAUGGGGAAACUGGGCUUAGGGAAGUUAAUGCCUUGCCGACGUUACAAGGUUGUGAGAGGCAGAGCCAGAGCUGGAAUCCAGCUUGGGCCUGCAGCCCGACCCUCCACCACUGUUAUCUACCACCUCUCUUGUACACACAAGCUGCCCAUGAAGGCUGACACCAGCCAAGUUAACCUGAACACAGGCACCACCAGCCCUGGAGAGUCAAAGGCUUAACAUGCUAACUCCGAAGGGGCGGACAACUUCCACUGAACUCGUUAGAAAUAAUGAAAUCUAGUCCUCCAACAACUUAGGGGACAAUGUCAGUACUGAAACGUGGUUUCGGCAGGUGACAUGAAGAGAAUUCCAUUUGGAGAAUAAGGACUAUUACGUCCACUGAAUGUCUACCCUGCGCUGCUAGGUAGUAGGAAGAGAGAAGUUAACAAAAGGUGGUUCCUACAUCAAAACACAUCAACAGGUGACUAUUGCACCUGUGACACUGGAUAAAUGGUAGUUUUAUCUCUGGAGCGUGCAUUUACUAUGAACACCUGGUCUUUCUCCUUAGGACUCAUAACCCACAAUGGACCCCUCUUUGUCUAAACUGCUAAAGUGAAUUCUUUCCUACCAUAUGUGAGGUAUUCAUGAAUAACACCAUCAAAGGAUGGUAAAAGAAUGUAAAUAUUUUGUUCCUUUAAAGGUCCAUUUCCAAGUUUGCUGAGGGAACUGUAGAGUUAAUUUCUCCCCCAACAUGCAUGUACCUCUCUCCUCCCAUCUUCCAGUUAGAGCAGCCUUAUGCUAAAAGCAAGCUCGAAAAUACAGAUUUUUCUUUAGGUAGCAUCCACAUGCUACUCCCAGUUAAACAGAAUUCUAUAAGGUGAGAGCCAAAGUGGUAGAACUAACCACAUAGAACACCUGCUCCAUCCCUUCUUUUUCAAAUGGAAUAACUGAGACUCUGAAGAGCUAAGGGGCUUGCCUAUGGUCAAAAACAAAUAAACAACAAAUCCAAAACUUAAACUCAGGCCGUGUUUUUUUUCUAUAACCUUAUAGUUCAUCCUACGGUCCCAUCCGAUGCGAAGUCCAAUCCCAUGGUCAGAGAGGCCCCUGACGUGAGCUCCGGCCCAACACUUUGCACAGUGCUUGCAGCAAGGCAGAUUCUCAGUGAAAGCUGGUUGAGUAAGUACACGUGAGGGAAGCCCAGCUUCUGGUCUGCUGCUAGUUACCUCCCCAGCAGCCCUGCCCUGCACUUCCUCUUGCCUUCCUUCCUGGACUCUAUUACCCAUCAAUGCCAAUACCACUCUUGCCUGAGCAGCAACAGCAGAGACAGCUUCUCUGGAAAUACACACAUUCCCUGGGCAGAGAAGUAGACCACUCAGAGCUAGUUAAUUAGUGCGUUGACUGGGAUGUAUUUUGCUAGUUGACCCCUAGCCACACCACACAGAGGCUGAAGCAAGAAUAUUUCAGUAGUAGGGGUUGGUGACAAAUCCAAGACCUAAAGGUGGGACCCUAAUCCGGUAGGGCAGAUGUCCUCAUAAGAAGGUACAACAGGAGCACGUGUGCACAGAGGAAAGACCACGUGGGGACACAGCAAGAAGAUGGUCAUCUGCAAGCCAAGGAGAGAAGUCUCAGGAGAAACCAAGCCUGCCAGCAGUUGAUCUUGAACUUCCGGCCUCCAGCACAGUGAGAAGAUAAACUUCUGUUGUUUAAGCCACCUCGUCUGUGGCAUUUUGUCAUGGCAGCCCAAGCUGACUGACACAACACCGAUGGCCAACGGUGAGGGGGCUGCUGCAGACCAAUUCUACCUCAGCCUCAGUCUGCGCUGGGCUCGCCUGGGCCCAGGGAGGAGACAGGAGCUGACACACACAUUCAGAUCGCAACCGGGUAUUUUCAGGUUAACAGGUCCAUGCUGAAACAAACAAGCAAAAGACAUAAAUAGGAUGAAAGUUGUAGACAGCCAUGAACAAUUUAUCUUUUUUCUGUGGCUUAUCUGUUUGUACAUACUUGCUUUCUUGGUGGUUUUAUAAGAACAAACAUUUGCCUUUAG
ensembl:lncRNA